rnacentral:rRNA from 1 species
AAUUCGAUUGAGUUUGAUCAUGGCUCAGGACGAACGCUGGCGGCGUGCUUAACACAUGCAAGUCGAGCGGUAAGGCCUCUUUCGGGGGGUACACGAGCGGCGAACGGGUGAGUAACACGUGGGUGACCUGCCUUCAGCUCUGGGAUAAGCUUGGGAAACUGGGUCUAAUACCGGAUGUGACUGUCUGCCGCAUGGUGGGUGGUGGAAAGUUCUCGGGCUUUGGUCUGGGUUCGGCUGGGGAUGGGCCUGCGGCCUAUCAGCUUGUUGGUGGGGUGAUGGCCUACCAAGGCGACGACGGGUAGCCGGCCUGAGAGGGCGACCGGCCACACUGGGACUGAGACACGGCCCAGACUCCUACGGGAGGCAGCAGUGGGGAAUAUUGCGCAAUGGGCGGAAGCCUGACGCAGCGACGCCGCGUGGGGGAUGACGGCCUUCGGGUUGUAAACCUCUUUCGCCAUCGACGAAGGUUCUGUGGUCGUGAGGCUGCAGGGUUGACGGUAGGUGGAGAAGAAGCACCGGCCAACUACGUGCCAGCAGCCGCGGUAAUACGUAGGGUGCGAGCGUUGUCCGGAAUUAUUGGGCGUAAAGAGCUCGUAGGCGGUGUGUCGCGUCGGCCGUGAAAACCUGCAGCUUAACUGUGGGCGUGCGGUCGAUAC